GGCGGGACCGAGGCGCACGAGCGCGGGCUGGGUGCCCUGCCGGAGGUGGGUGCUCCAGGCGGUGGGAAAGAAAGACAGCGCUCACCCGGGCCCGGGCCGCGUUCCCGGGUCGUCUGCAGGAACCCAAGGCAUUGAGGAACAUACAAGAAGAAAGGGUUCCCUGUGUCCUCUCUCUACCACCUGCUCCACAUCCCCUCCCCCUUUCAGGCCUCACCUCAGAUCUUCCACACCCAGGACCAGAGCAUCACUUCUCCCAGAGGAGCCUGAUUCGACAACGACCCUGCCUGGAGUUCAGAAGGCGGUCUUUGGUGGGAUUUCGGUAUCCUGAGCUUCGGGCCUCCUAAACCCAUUUGACCCCGUCAUCUCCUUGUGUGAUGGCUCCUUUUCUCAACCGAGACCCCUCAGCGAGGCUUUUUCCCACCAACCUGUCUGAGGAGCCUGUGAGGGAUUUGCCUUUGCCAAGGCUGAUUUUUCUGAAGGCUGUAACAACUUCACCGGCUGUCUUGGUUCCACCCCGAGGAUUUCGCUGAGAGAACACGGUUAGAGGGAAUCAGGAAGCAGAGAAAAGGUCACAAAUAAGCACCUCAGGAACAAUGAAAGCUUUUCUCUAUGCAACAGUGGGAACGUUGCUAGAAAAAACUGGAAAGGUAUUAAUCAGAAGUGGCUAUAAAUCCUCUGGAGUUUUGCUCUUAGAAAACUCCUCAGAGAAAGUCUUGAAGGAAAUGCAGGUCAAAGCCCAAAAAAGCUCUUGAUCAGAGAUUGCCGGAGGAAAAUCUUCCCAGACGCCGUUUAAUAGGCAGCAAUCACCCCAGGAGUGGGGAAGCCAAGUACGCUUGAAACAUGGUUGCAAUUCCUAAUAGAUCUUGCCACACUUAAGGCACUGCAAGCUCCGUCCAACGAACAGCUGAAGCUAGCUGGCGAUUCAUAAAGCCAACAGUUUAAAGUUUAUUAUGAUGAAAGCACUUAAUGACAGCCAUCGCUAGGGGCCCAUCAUUUAUAAAGCUGUGCUGAGUAUUAGACAUGUAGCAUGACCACCAAUUUUAUGUCACAAUUGCUACCAUAAAAUGACCUUUGGUGAUUUUUGCUGCAUGUGGUGGACAGCUCUUCCUUCACAUUAGUGCUCUGUGGCUUUCUUUGCAGACUAUUAUGCUGUCUAAAGCUUAUUUGGCACUGUCGUGAGCCUCAACCCUUGUUAUUACCCCAAAGGCCUGUCUUAAAAAAAAAAAAAAAGAAAAGAACUCAUGCUCUAUUACACCACUCCAAUAAUUUACAGUUCUUACCAGCUUGGGUUAGUGUAAUAUUUUAAUGCAAAUAUGCUUUGCCAUUGCAUUUUAUUAAAAAAAAAAGUUCCCAUGUUUCUGGCUAGGACACUAUCCAUUUGAUAGAGUCCACUGAAACCAGCCUCUUAUUCCCUGGUUAGGUCUCAUUGAAUGGGCGCUUCUUUCCCUGACUGCUUAAAAACACCUCCAGGAAGAAAAAAAAAAAAAAAAGGUUAAUUAAACUUUCCUCCAGAAAGAGUUUUGUGUUUUUUUUUAAAAGAUUCUACGUGUGAUAAACCCACCUAGCGCAGAAACACUAAUUCUUAUUUCCCUACAUCCUGUCCCAAUGCACAUUUACAUCUGAGUAACAUUAUUUAAUUAGGAUUCCAUUUUCCAACCUGCUUUGUGUAGUUAGAAAGUGUUUGAAUACCCGGCCACUUUACCGUUCUGAUGUAAACUGCUGCUGAGAAAGUGGUCUGUCCAUACUACACCAUCUUUAAAUUGUGUAUAUAAUUUUAUAAAUGAUAUAAAAUCUGCUUCUAGUCCCUGAAAAAAAAAUACAAGCAUGGCACACUGCAAUUUUGG
ensembl:lncRNA